CUGAUGACACCUGGAUAAAGGGGUGAAUACAAAUGUGAGCUACGUUGGCAUACAAUAGCAAGGUCUGGGACAUGAAGGAUGGCUGUGGACUGGGCUAAGCACUUGGGAGAGACAGAGGUGGUUGACUUGUUGGAAUCCUACAGCAGGUUUUGGAAAUCUGGAUGAAAGCU